rnacentral:lncRNA from 10 species
AGAAGAUUCGCCACCAGAGGGCGCCCCGGGCCCUGGGUCGUCCAAGGGGACAAGGACGUUCCCGUCUGUGCUUCGGGGUUCCCUGACCCCCCCAUCCUGCAGCCCACCUUCCUGCAGUGUCGUGGCAGGUCUGUCUUGCAGCCGAUGAGCACCAUGGGGAUCCCGCGGCAGAAAUGCGUGACCUCAGGGAACCACUGUGGAGGGAGGAGGCGGGAUCAGGGGUGCGGCCGGGCCCAGAUGUGGGGCCACCACCCAGGAGGCCGGCCUCACCUUGAUGAGGACGUUGUCGUAGCUGGUGGGAUUCAUGACGUCAUAGCAGAUGAGCACGAGCAAGCCAGGAGUGCUGGCACAGGCCUGUGGUCGCAGCUACUCGGGAGGCUGAGGCCGGAGGAUCGCUUGAGCCCAGGAGGUCAAGGCUACAGUGAGCCGUGAUCAUGCCACUGCACUCCAGCCUGGGUGACAGAGCGAGACCCUGUCUCUUAACAACAAAACCCAUGAGCGGCAGCCCCCCAGUCCUGGAUGGUGGUAAAGAAUCCUCAAGAUCAAACCCACGCAGUGCUGAGAGCUUGGCCUGAUUCUAGGGCUGGGGCUGGAGAAACUGCUAGAGAUGAUGCCGAUAGCCAGUGUGAUCCCCCUGCCCUGAUGGUCAAGGGCAGAGUGCAGACUGGAACCCUCCCCUCCCCAAAGAUUCAGACCUGUGGGGCUGAGUGGGCUCAUAGUGUCCCCAAGUCCUGAGAGGCUGGUGUCUGGCUUCAGCCUCCAGCUUCUCAGGUUCUGAUGCAGUCAGCUGAGUUCCCUGCCUAUUCUUGCAAGCACUAGGAGGAGGGUGGUGGGUUGCUGGGAACAGCACCGAGCGCCCUCCCCACCCAGAUUCACAGAGCACACUCCCUGGGGGGAUACUUUAAUCCGGAGGCCGUGACGCCUGGCUCCGCCCCGAGACGAGCUGAAUCCAAAUACGGAUCUAGGCUUGAGCUUGGUUGGGUUUGCUUUUUUCUUCUUCUUCUUUAUAAACAAUUCUUUGUAACUUUUUGUAUUGACAGUUUCAAACUUACAGUAAAAUUGCAACAC